AGCAAAAAGCCCCUAAUCGGAGUUCUUACAUGCUGAAUAUAGAUUUGUAAAUAAACAGCAACUCUGCUUCCUCCCUUCCAGCCUUCCUGUAAAACAGUGGAGCCGGAUGAGACAAUCCGUGGUGGGCACCAUCCAAGGAGACCACACUCAAAAUCUUCCCAAGAUGAAGUCCUGAGGGUGGACCCUAAUCCAGCGUAACAGGACCGGGGGCCUUACAAGAUGAGGGGAGUUGGGACACGCACACAGAGCACCGGUGGAGACGCAGACCCAGAGGGAAGAGGCCACGUGAAGACAGAGGCAGAGGCUGCAGUGCGGCUGCUGGAAGCCAAGGACACUGGGGAUCCCUAGAGCUGGAAGAGGCAAGGAUCCAAUUUGAUUUGCCCUCAUGGAAUGGCGACUUCCCUUCUGCUGAAGCCGGGAGGGGGUCUGCAGAAAUCUGUUUGGAGCCAAGACUCUCAUCACAUGCCUGGCCCAUAAAGUUGGCUGCACCUGGCCGAGGGAGGAGGGGCGGGUGGUUUGUCGCCUCCCAUCCUGCCUGCUGACACUCACAGGGUGGAAAUCAACUUGAGUCUCAGUUGACUAUUUUGCCAGCAUUUGGAUUCAGACCUAUCUUGCCCCAUACAGGUCACACCAAGGCCGGGCAUUCUCACUAUUUUCAAUGGGCCACUAGCCUUGUUGGUUUGAAAUUGAUUUUGAAUGCCAAUUGAUAUUGAGUAAAAGAAACACAGUUUCUGCCGCCAGGUUUGCAUUUUCCUAAAAUACUCAUGCUCUUUUCAACUUGAAUCCUGUCCUCCCUUCAUCCAUAUGACAUCCCUGCCUUUCUGCAAAGAGGACAGACAUGUGGCAUAGGCCACGCCACUCCUCAUCCCUUGCUUGUGGCCAACAUCGCCAAAUGAUCGCUGCAUUCUUUCAGGCAAAGCCUAGACACAGCAUCGACUGGUGUUAGCACCUGGGAUGGAAAAGUGUUUGCUGUCCCCACACUCAGUAACAUUUACUAUCUUGUAGUCGGGCAUGGCUGCACAGGCCUGUAAUCCCAGGUACUCAAGAAGUUGAGGCAGGAGGUUCG